GCAUCGAUGAAGAACGCAGCGAAAAGCGAUAAUUAAUGUGAAUUGCAAAUUUAAGUGAAUCAUCGAACCUUUGAACGCACCUUGCGCCCCUUAGUAAUCUGGGGGGUAUGCCUGUUUGAGUGUCAUGAAAACCUCAUCCCAUCGGGUCACCGAUGGUGAUGGAUCUGGGUGUUGCCAUCUUGGCUCGCCUUAAAAGUCUCAGUGGUUCCGAAGUCGGAUCUGGCGUAAUAAGUUUCGCUGGCCAAGACGGAAGGCUGCUCAUAACCCGUCUUCUGACAUUUUUUGCUCUGACCUCAAAUCAGGUAGGACUACCCGCUGAACUUAAGCAUAUCAAUAAGCGGAGGA
rnacentral:rRNA from 1 species